rnacentral:rRNA from 1 species
UGGGGAAUUUUGGACAAUGGGCGAAAGCCUGAUCCAGCAACGAUGCGUGGAGGAUGAAGGUUCUCGGAUUGUAAACUCCUUUUGAGAGGGAAGAAAAAAAUGACGGUACCUCUCGAAUAAGCCACGGCUAACUACGUGCCAGCAGCCGCGGUAAGACGUAGGUGGCAAGCGUUACUCGGAAUUACUAGGCGUAAAGCGCGCGUAGGCGGAAUGUUAAGUCUGUUGUGUAAUCUCCGGGCUCAACCCGGAAACUGCAACGGAAACUGGCGUUCUUGAGUGAGGCAGAGGAGAUCGGAAUUCCUAGUGUAGCAGUGAAAUGCGUAGAUAUUAGGAGGAACACCGGUGGCGAAGGCGGAUCUCUGGGCCUUUACUGACGCUCAAGUGCGAAAGCUAGGGGAGCAAACGGG